rnacentral:tRNA from 1 species
GUCGAGAUGGCUCAGUGGUUAAGAGCACUGACUGCUCUUCCGAAGGUUCUGAGUUCAAUUCUUAGCAACCACA